UACGUAGGGUCCAAGCGUUAUCCGGAAUCACUGGGCGUAAAGCGUGCGUAGGCGGAUGUUUAAGUGUAAUGCGAAAUCCUGUGGCUCAACCAUAUGGACUGUAUUGCAUACUGGAUAUCUGGAGGAAUGCAGAGGCAAGUGGAAUUACUGGUGUAGCAGUGAAAUGCGUAGAUAUCAGUAGGAACACCAAUGGCGAAGGCAGCUUGCUGGGCAUUUUCUGACGCUAAGGCGCGAAAGCGUGGGGAGCGAACAGG
rnacentral:rRNA from 1 species